GAUGAACGCUGGCGGCGUGCCUAAUACAUGCAAGUCGAGCGAACAGACGAGGAGCUUGCUCCUCUGACGUUAGCGGCGGACGGGUGAGUAACACGUGGAUAACCUACCUAUAAGACUGGGAUAACUUCGGGAAACCGGAGCUAAUACCGGAUAAUAUAUUGAACCGCAUGGUUCAAUAGUGAAAGACGGUUUUGCUGUCACUUAUAGAUGGAUCCGCGCCGCAUUAGCUAGUUGGUAAGGUAACGGCUUACCAAGGCAACGAUGCGUAGCCGACCUGAGAGGGUGAUCGGCACCACUGGAACUGAGCCACGGUCCAGACUCCGACGGGAGGCAGCAGAGGGGAUUCUUCCGCAAUGGGCGAAAGCCUGACGGAGCACCGCCGCGUGAGUAAUGAAGGUCUUCGGAUCGAAAAACUCUUUUAUUAGGGAAGAACAAAUGUGUAAGUAACUAUGCCCGUCUUGACGGUACCUAAUAAAAAAGCCACGGCUAACUCCGUC
rnacentral:rRNA from 1 species